CGGUAACACCAGCCCCUCGAGUGGUGGGGAUGAUUAUUUGGCCUAAAGCGUCCGUAGCCGGCCGAGCAAGUCUUCCGUUAAAUCCAGCGUCUCAAGCGUUGGACUGCGGGAGAUACUACACGGCUAGAGAGUGGGAGAGGUCAGCGGUAUUCUGGGGGUAGGGGCGAAAUCCUUUGAUCCCCGGAGGACCACCAGUGGCGAAGGCUGCUGACUAGAACACGUCUGACGGUCAGGGACGAAAGCUGGGGUAGCGAACCGGAUUAGAUACCCGGGUAGUCCCAGCCGUAAACGAUGCAUGCUAGGUGUUGGGUUGGCCACGAGCCACCCCAGUGCCGCAGGGAAGCCGUUAAGCAUGCCGCCUGGGAAGUACGAUCGCAAGAUUGAAACUUAAAGGAAUUGGCG
rnacentral:rRNA from 1 species